rnacentral:rRNA from 1 species
GCUCAGAAACUUAAUGAAUUGACGGGGCCCGCACAAGCGGUGGAGCAUGUGGUUUAAUUCGAUGAUACGCGAGGAACCUUACCUGGGCUCAAAUGUAUGUUGACGUAUUCUGAAAGGGAUACUUCUUCGGACAAUAUACAAGGUGCUGCAUGGUUGUCGUCAGCUCGUGCCGUGAGGUGUCGGGUUAAGUCCCAUAACGAGCGCAACCCCUAUCAUUAGUUGCCAUCAGGUCAAGCUGGGGACUCUAAUGAAACUGCCUACGCAAGUAGUGAGGAAGGUGGGGAUGACGUCAAAUCAGCACGGCCCUUACGUCCAGGGCUACACACGUGCUACAAUGGCCGGUACAAAGGGCAGCUACCUGGUGACAGGAUGCUAAUCUCAAAAGCCGGUCUCAGUUCGGAUCGGAGUCUGCAACCCGACUCCGUGAAGUUGGAUUCGCUAGUAAUCGCGCAUCAGCCAUGGCGCGGUGAAUACGUUCCCGGGCCUU